UACAGAGGGUGCAAGCGUUGUUCGGAAUUACUGGGCGUAAAGCGUGCGCAGGCGGUUGUGCCAGCCCGCUGUGAAAUCCCCGGGCUUAACCUGGGAAUGGCAUUGGUGACUGCACGGCUAGAGUGUGUCAGAGGGGGGUAGAAUUCCACGUGUAGCAGUGAAAUGCGUAGAGAUGUGGAGGAAUACCGAUGGCGAAGGCAGCCCCCUGGGAUAACACUGACGCUCAUGCACGAAAGCGUGGGGAGCAAACAGG
rnacentral:rRNA from 1 species